rnacentral:rRNA from 1 species
UACGGAGGGGGCAAGCGUUGUUCGGAAUCAUUGGGCGUAAAGGGCGCGUAGGCGGCCGACCAAGUCGGGUGUGAAAUCCCUCGGCUCAACCGAGGAACUGCAUUCGAUACUGUUCGGCUAGAGUCCGGGAGGGGAUGGUGGAAUUCCCAGUGUAGCGGUGAAAUGCGUAGAUAUUGGGAAGAACACCGGUGGCGAAGGCGGCCAUCUGGACCGGCACUGACGCUGAGGCGCGAAAGCCAGGGGAGCGAAUGGG